rnacentral:rRNA from 1 species
AGUGAACGCUGGCGGUAUGCCUAACACAUGCAAGUCGAACGGCAGCACAUUCAUAGCUUGCUCUUACGGGUUGCGAGUGGCGGACGGGUGAGGAAUACAUCGGACUCUACUUUUUCGUGGGGGAUAACGUAGGGAAACUUACGCUAAUACCGCAUACGACCUACGGGUGAAAGCAGGGGAUCUUCGUACCUUGCGCGAUUGAAUGAGCCGAUGUCGGAUUAGCUAGGUGGCGGGGUAAAGGCCCUCCAAGGCGACGAUCCGUAGCUGGUCUGAGAGGAUGAUCAGCCACACUGGAACUGAGACACGGUCCAGACUCCUGAGGGAGGCAGCAGUGGGGAAUAUUGGACGAUGGGCGCAAGCCUGAUCCAGCCAUACCGCGUGGGUGAAGAAGGCCUUCGGGUUGUAAAGCCCUUUUGUUGGGAAAGAAAAGCAGCAGGUUAAUCCCCCGCUGUUCUGACGGUACCCAAAGAAUAAGCACCGGCUAACUUCGUG